CAAAGAAAGAUCAUUAAGAACCGCCACCAAAGCUGGGAUGGCAUCUGUAUCUUGCAUUUGCCCCAAUGCAAAUGCAGCCUCAUGAGCCAACAAAUUCGAAGAAUCUCUAGUUGCAAGAAUGAGGGCAUUGCGAGGGGCGGGGCCUUUGAGGUUGCGGAGCGAGAAGAGGGCUCGAAAGCGCUCGGCAAUGGGUAGAGAGGCGUCGUUCAAGCGGUCGCAAAGGAACUUCUCCAUCUCAGAAGAACAGGAAAAGGAGGUAAUUUCGUCGUCGCCAUUGACGGAGCCCAUGAGUUCGGCGG
rnacentral:misc_RNA from 1 species